rnacentral:lncRNA from 1 species
CCUUUGCUUCGAUCAACGGUUAUAGAACAAGUGCAUGUGGCAUGUAAGGAACUAGGUGCUUUUCAGGUACAUUACUUAUUAACAAACUAUACAUAUAGUUGCAUAAAAUCAGUUCAACUAUAAAACGAAGUUUUCCAAGAAAGUAAUUACUAGGCAGAGUAUUCUUUGUAUUGAAUAUAUUUAUUUCUUCACUUUUUUUUUUUUUUCCUUUUUUUUACUACGUGCAUGAGCAGACAUGUCGUCAACUUUUUUCUACGUCAUGCAUGCAUUUUUAACGUUACGAAAAUACGUACCACCUUAUGCAGGUGAUCAACCAUGGAAUUCCGAUCCCGAUUGUCGAUCAGGCACUAGAAGUUGCUGCGGAGUUUUUCGAUAUGCCGAACGAAAAAAAGAUGCGUAUUGCCUCUACUGAUGCUCGUGAGCCUGUAAGAUACGGGACCAGUCUGAAUUACAUCAAUGAUAAAGUUAAAUAUUGGAGAGACUUUAUCAAACACUACUCUAAUCCAAUCUCAAGAUGGAUCGAUUUGUGGCCGUCGGAUCCUCCAAGUUACAAGUAAUCAACUCACAAAGCUUCUCUUUUUUUUUUUAAAGUAAAACGGAGAAUAUUUAUUCUCGAAAUCUAAUGUAUUAUUUUUUGCAGGGAGAAAAUGGGGAACUACGCAAAGGCUGUGCAUAUCUUGCAUAAAGAGCUAAUGGAAGUAUUAUUCGAGAGCUUAGGUCUAAAACCAGACUACUUACAGAACGACAUCGAAGAAGGCUCACAGGUCAUGGCAGUAAACUUUUAUCCUGCUUGCCCAGAGCCGAAUCUAACACUAGGCCUUCCCCCACACUCGGAUUAUGGACUGUUAACCAUUUUACUCCAAAAUCAACGGGGCUUAGAAACUAUGGACAACGACGGAAAAUGGCAAUCCGUUCCUGUAAUAAAAGAAGGGUUGGUGGUUCAGUUGGGCGAUCAUAUGGAAGUACUGAGUAAUGGCCGAUACAAAAGUGUCGUACAUCGAGCAUGCCUUAACUCGGAAAAGAGGCGUCUUUCGAUUGCAAGUCUUCACAGUUUGGAAAUAGAGAAGAAAGUAAUACCUGCUCAAGAACUUGUCGAUGAGCAACAUCCGUUGGCCUAUGAAGGAGUGAGCUUCGGAGACUUUCUGCACUUCCUUUCCAAAAACGACAUC